rnacentral:rRNA from 1 species
GCGGAAGGUCAUUAUCGAAUAUAUAAACCUGGGUAGACUGUUGCUGGCUUCUCUUUCAGGGGGGCAUGUGCACGUUUAUCCUCUUUAUUUUUCCACCUGUGCACCUUUUGUAGGCUUGGAUUUAUCAGUGGUUCUAACAUGUUUUUCAAAGGCAUAUAAGAAUUGUUUUGGGACUGCUGUGUUUAAACAUAUGUUUAUCAGCUUUCCCUUUUAUUUUCCAAGUCUAUGUUUGUUAUACACACUCCAAAUGUAAUAGAAUGCUGUACUUUAGGUCAUUUGUACCUAUAAAUAAAAUCAGUACAACUUUCAGCAACGGAUCUCUUGGCUCUCGCAUCGAUGAAGAACGCAGCGAAAUGCGAUAAGUAAUGUGAAUUGCAGAAUUCAGUGAAUCAUCGAAUCUUUGAACGCACCUUGCGCUCCUUGGUAUUCCAAGGAGCAUGCCUGUUUGAGUAUCAUUAAAUUAUCAACUGUGCCAAUUUGGUUACAGAUUGGAUGUGGGAGAUUCUUUUUGCAGGCCUUUGACUUCUCUUUGAGAAAAAAAAUACAAGGUCGGCUCUCCUGAAAUGUAUUAGCAGUGCCUUUGUUGGUUCAUUAGGUGUGAUAAAUUGUCUACAUCUUCGCAUGAUACCUUCAUUUGUAAAGGCCAUAUUGCUUCUAAAUUGUCUUUGAUUGGACGCAAAACAUAUAUAAUGUUUGACAAACUUGAUCUCAAAUCAGGCAGGACUACCUGCUGAACUUAA